AGUGUUGUUCUUCUUCUUCUCUUAAGAAAGACGCCAUUUUCAUAUCUUCAUCAAAAGCCAUAGUAAUAAACUCUAGUAU
rnacentral:sRNA from 1 species